rnacentral:misc_RNA from 1 species
CCCAGGCUACAAGUAGCAGUCCAAGUGUGGGUUGGCAGUGCUGCAGCUAUGGACAACUCACACGAGGUCUCAGACUUGGAACAUGGGCAUGGCCUCCUCAAGCCCUCCUCCAAUAAGGAGGUUUUGAAUGGCAGGACUCUGCAAAAUGUAUCGUCUUCCAUUUUGCGUACGAAAUCAGACCCAGUUCUUGUUUCAAGCGUUCGGUUUCAAAUGCUCAGGCAUUUCUUGGCCAACCUCCAAGAAGUCAUUCUUGGAACUAAGCUGGCU